AGUGAACGCUGGCGGUAGGCCUAACACAUGCAAGUCGAACGGCAGCACAGUAAGAGCUUGCUCUUACGGGUGGCGAGUGGCGGACGGGUGAGGAAUACAUCGGAAUCUACUUUUUCGUGGGGGAUAACGUAGGGAAACUUACGCUAAUACCGCAUACGACCUACGGGUGAAAGCAGGGGAUCUUCGGACCUUGCGCGAUUGAAUGAGCCGAUGUCGGAUUGGCUAGUGGGCGGGGUAAAGGCCCACCAAGGCGACGAUCCGUAGCUGGUCUGAGAGGCUGAUCAGCCACACUGGAACUGAGACACGGACAAGACUCCUACGGGAGGCAGCAGUGGGGAAUAUUGGACAACGGGCGGAAGCCUGACCCAGCCAUCCCGCGUGGGAUACGAAGGCCUUCGGGUCGUAAAGCCCUUUUUUUGGGAAAGAAAAGCAGCAGCUUAAUACGCCGCUGUUCUGACGGUACCCAAAGAAUAAGCACCGGCUAACUACGUG
rnacentral:rRNA from 1 species